CCCCCCCGAAUUGUGGUCUAGAAAGGCGCCAUCGGCCGCGCGCGUCGCCCAAAUUCCCUUGGAACAGGGUAUCGGAGAAGGUGAGAAUCCUGUGCCGUGGCGCGUUGCGGCCUCACGAUGCGUCCUUGUCGAGUCGGGUUGCUUGGGAUUGCAGCUUGAAGUGGGUGGUAAAUUCCAUCUAAAGCUAAAUACUGGCGAGAGACCGAUAGCGAACAAGUACCGUGAGGGAAAGAUGCAAAGAACUUUGAAAAGAGA
rnacentral:rRNA from 1 species